CCAGACUCCUACGGAGGCAGCAGUGAGGAAUAUUGGUCAAUGGGCGGAAGCCUGAACCAGCCAAGUAGCGUGCAGGAAGACGGCCCUAUGGGUUGUAAACUGCUUUUAUGCGGGGAUAAAGUGAGGGACGUGUCCUUCAUUGCAGGUACCGCAUGAAUAAGGACCGGCUAAUUCCGUGCCAGCAGCCGCGGUAAUACGGAAGGUCCGGGCGUUAUCCGGAUUUAUUGGGUUUAAAGGGAGCGUAGGCCGUGGAUUAAGCGUGUUGUGAAAUGCAGGUGCUCAACGUCUGCACUGCAGCGCGAACUGGUCCACUUGAGUGUGCGC
rnacentral:rRNA from 1 species